rnacentral:lncRNA from 1 species
UUCAAACUUGCUUUUUAAAAUUUUGGGUUCCAUAUCACCAACAUCUGUGGAUCACUGUAGCCAAAACUGGCCCAUUGUUCACCAAUAUUGGUGUUCUGUUCCUUAAUGCCACCCAUUCCCUGAUCUCCUUGAGGUUAAAUGGAUCGUGUGACUUAAUGGAAUUUGGGUGGAAGUGGUGUGAAGCCUUUCUGUGUCUGAUCCUAAGGCCUUUAAAAAUAUUCCACUCUGUCCUUCUCUCUUACUUCACCUGUUGGCUCAAUGCAGAGGCUUCAGGGUAGGAAUUCAAGUUCUGACAAGGUUGUGGAGCUCAGAAUGGAAGGAGCCCGGGUCUCUGAAUUACUUCAUAGAACAGAGCUGGUCAUGGUCACUCCUCUGUCAACUCACUUGAGAAUCAACAAGAAAUUUCAAGUGACUCCAGUUACAUUUGGAAUGGGAAGAUAAGGC